GGAAGCUUCAGAGAAAAGAACUGUGGUAAAAGAAGAGGCCUAAGUCUGAAAUGUCAUUGUGACCAAAUGCACACACCAUCAGCUUGCACUGAAAAAGUCCAAUCAAUCAAUCGUUAAAAUAAUCCAUUAUGGCUGUGGUACUGGGAAGAUGAUCAUGAACCAAAAAUGUUAAGUUCUUUGAUAAUGAAAUUAGUAUAAAAUUAAAAAAAUAAGUUUAGAUGAUGACUCAGAUGUGAUCUACAUUUGACAUUUCUUGAAGUUCCAGCUUUUUAGAAAAAAAUGAAUAUUCAGAAUCAGAAAAUCUUUGUUUUGAGAUGGGGUCUGGCUCUGUUGCCCAGGUUGGAGUGCAGUGGGGUGAUUUUAGCUCACUGCAACCUCCGCCUCCCGGGCUCAAGUGGUCCUCCUGCCUCAGCCUCCCAAGUAGUUGGGACCAUAGGUGCACACUACCGUGCCUAAUUUUUUGUAUUUUUGUUUAAUAAACAUAAGAGUGGUUUUAUUGAUUACAUACAAUUUUA
rnacentral:lncRNA from 10 species